UGGGGAAUAUUGCACAAUGGGCGCAAGCCUGAUGCAGCCAUGCCGCGUGUGUGAAGAAGGCCUUCGGGUUGUAAAGCACUUUCAGCGGGGAGGAAGGCGUUAAGGUUAAUAACCUUGGCGAUUGACGUUACCCGCAGAAGAAGCACCGGCUAACUCCGUGCCAGCAGCCGCGGUAAUACGGAGGGUGCAAGCGUUAAUCGGAAUUACUGGGCGUAAAGCGCACGCAGGCGGUCUGUCAAGUCGGAUGUGAAAUCCCCGGGCUCAACCUGUGAACUGCAUUCGAAACUGGCACGCUAGAGUCUUGUAUAGGGGAGUAGAAUUCCAGUUGUAGCGGUACAAUGCGUAGAGAUCUGGCGGAAUACCGGUGGCGAAGGCGGCCCCCUGGACAAAGACUGACGCUCAGGUGCGAAAGCGUGGUGAGCAAACAGG
rnacentral:rRNA from 1 species